rnacentral:rRNA from 1 species
AUUGAACGCUGGCGGCAUGCUUUACACAUGCAAGUCGAACGGUAACAGGCCGCAAGGUGCUGACGAGUGGCGAACGGGUGAGUAAUGCAUCGGAACGUGCCCAGUCGUGGGGGAUAGCGCAGCGAAAGCUGCGCUAAUACCGCAUACGAUCUAUGGAUGAAAGCGGGGGACCGUAAGGCCUCGUGCGAUUGGAGCGGCCGAUGUCAGAUUAGGUAGUUGGUGGGGUAAAGGCUCACCAAGCCAACGAUCUGCAGCUGGUCUGAGAGGACGACCAGCCACACUGGGACUGAGACACGGCCCAGACUCCUACGGGAGGCAGCAGUGGGGAAUUUUGGACAAUGGGCGCAAGCCUGAUCCAGCAAUGCCGCGUGCAGGAAGAAGGCCUUCGGGUUGUAAACUGCCUUUGUACGGAACGAAACGGACCUGGUUAAUACCUGGGGCUAAUGACGGUACCGUAAGAAUAAGCACCGGCUAACUACGUGCCAGCCGCCGCAGUAACAC